rnacentral:rRNA from 2 species
UGGGAGCUUGCUCCCUGAUGUUAGCGGCGGACGGGUGAGUAACACGUGGGUAACCUGCCUGUAAGACUGGGAUAACUCCGGGAAACCGGGGCUAAUACCGGAUGGUUGUUUGAACCGCAUGGUUCAAACAUAAAAGGUGGCUUCGGCUACCACUUACAGAUGGACCCGCGGCGCAUUAGCUAGUUGGUGAGGUAAUGGCUCACCAAGGCAACGAUGCGUAGCCGACCUGAGAGGGUGAUCGGCCACACUGGGACUGAGACACGGCCCAGACUCCUACGGGAGGCAGCAGUAGGGAAUCUUCCGCAAUGGACGAAAGUCUGACGGAGCAACGCCGCGUGAGUGAUGAAGGUUUUCGGAUCGUAAAGCUCUGUUGUUAGGGAAGAACAAGUACCGUUCGAAUAGGGCGGUACCUUGACGGUACCUAACCAGAAAGCCACGGCUAACUACGUGCCAGCAGCCGCGGUAAUACGUAGGUGGCAAGCGUUGUCCGGAAUUAUUGGGCGUAAAGGGCUCGCAGGCGGUUUCUUAAGUCUGAUGUGAAAGCCCCCGGCUCAACCGGGGAGGGUCAUUGGAAACUGGGAAACUUGAGUGCAGAAGAGGAGAGUGGAAUUCCACGUGUAGCGGUGAAAUGCGUAGAGAUGUGGAGGAACACCAGUGGCGAAGGCGACUCUCUGGUCUGUAACUGACGCUGAGGAGCGAAAGCGUGGGGAGCGAACAGGAUUAGA